AGCCCUUUGCUCCUCUUUUGUACUCUCAGCCUUUAUGUAUCUGGCACAUCCAGCCCUACACUCACCGGCCAUUGAGCACUGAGAGCUGCUGGCAUCCUUACUUACGGGACCGACCCAAUGCAGUGCUUAAAGGAGGUGUGUCAAAUGAAGCUGCAGGAAGCCCUCUUUUAUUCAAACGAAGGACCUGGCAAGGAAUUUGCUCUCUCCAUUCACAGGUUUCCUCCUGUGCUCUUUUGCUAGACCAUGCUCUGGUUUCCAGUUAUGACCUACCUCUCAUGGCGCUGUGAUCAACGCUUGGAUUGUCAAUGAUCACAAAGCCGACAUGACAGAGUGAGCUUGGACUCGAUUCAUUCCCAGCCAGCUGAAGUUGAAAGCAGUCUACUGAAAGCAAUAAAAUUUGCAGGCUUGCUUUGGGUUCUGUAGUCAGUGGCUUCAUCUCUGUGGCUUCACUUGCAACCAAAUUUUAAUUUAACUCACAAAGUGCAGUGGUUUCCCAACUGUAGUGCAAAUUCCAUGCAGCAGCCUUAGAAAGCUUUACAGAGUAGCUUUCACUUUUGUAUCUCUCAGAUCCUUCUUCACUCCCAAAACAGAAAAUAGUCAGUUGUCUUCUUUCACUGAUAGCAAGACAGAGCCUGUGAUUA
rnacentral:lncRNA from 1 species